GAUGGUAUGCAGAGUUGGGAGGGGCAGUGUGCCCUUGGGUCCUCAAGUUUCUUGGGGCAUCGACUGUCAUCUCUUGAAUGUGUCCUACCAUGAAGAUGGAUUUAUUUUCUUUACCCCAAGAAUAAAGAAACCAAGGAAAUGAAAAGCUGGGCGCUCCCCUUCACACUGUCAGACAUGAGUCUGCAUCCACCUCAGACACCAGUUCUGACAGCAGCAUCACAACUGAGGAGGAUGAGGACAGGACCAAGGUACACCUGGCUGUCGGUGGAAGAGACAAGAUUACUCGGAAGCAUCCUGGAUAUGACUUAGCCUCGGAGGGGCAAAGGAGCUAUGAAGCCUCCACUCCAGAUUACACAGCAGUUAAGUCUGUUGAUAAACAGGAUGUGGAACAUGUGCAAGUAUUCACUGUUAUGCAGAGAAAGACCUCAGUCCCUCAGGAGGAGAGCUCAGCCACAAUCUACUGCUCUGUUCAGAAACCUCAGAAGGAGGUGCCACCACCACAGCAUGCUCUGGAGUCCUCUGAAACCUUGACCUACCAAAAUUUCACCUGAAAAAAAAAAAAAAAAACUUCUACGUCUCUGAUUGGAAAAGUAGCUGGACCUUGUAAAUCCUGGUGCUCCUACAGACAAGUAAAGCAGCAUUUCCCACAGUGACUCAAACAUGCCUGGAUUUCACCGCUACGCUCCCCUCAGCCUCCUAAGCCCAUUAAUAUUUUAGGUACAGGCUCCUUAGAGUCCUGGUUGGAAGUUAUUGAAGGGGAUCUGACUAUCCUUCACCCAUCUCAUGAACAGCUAUGAAAGCAAAUCCAACAGAUAUUCUCACACAUGGACACAAAGAGCUACAUAAAAUUAUGUUCUGUACAGUAUUAUUUAAAAUUAAAAGUGGAAAAUAACUUCAAUGUCCCUUAGUGAGAGUCUAGCUAUAAAUACUGAAUAAUGUACCCACACAGGAUCAAACUUUAUGCCUUAAAUACUUCUCUUGUUGCUGGGACAAAAUACCUGACACCCA
rnacentral:lncRNA from 1 species